CUCUCAGCUUCUUCGACAGGCGCCCUGUUGAGACCAACGAUGGGGCCUUGACGUCUAACAUAUAUAGGGCCGUUUGACGGUCCGGUUGUCAACUGUUCUCGUCGCCUGCACUGCGCCUGAGCGUUUCAUGACUUCGCGUGAUGGAUAGUUUUUCUAUUAGCCUAGGGACCGCCAACCCGAUCGUUUUGCUAUGCCGAGCUCUCUUUUCUGGCUUUUUUGACGAUAUAGGCGGUCCUCACCAGAACAUGGCGCAUGCAUAUUUUACAUUAGUUUAAGAUGGGCUCGUUAUGAAUGGUUUGCACAGCAGAUUCGUAGGCCAGUGCAUUAUAUCAGGUAACUCGGGUGCUCUCUCCUACUUCGCGCCCUGAGUAUUUCCUGAUCAUUCCGAAAAGUCUGUCUAUGCGACUACUCCGGGUCGCCGCGCUACAGCAAGGGGGGGGGCUCUAGGUAGGAUAUCCGCAGCCGCCUAACUACUUUCUGAAUGACCAUACGUAGUGAAUUCUUUCGGGCAUAACUUCGAAACUCAAUCUUUUUCACCUCAAAUUCAGGUCGUCUAAUCAGUGGUACACUGCCUCGGAGUUGACCCGCUAUCCUCACGCCUUGGACAUCGCUUGCCCUUUCGCGGUUUUGUCUGGUCUACCAUCACCACUAUUAUUAAAAGAUCCGACAGAAGUCGUACAAGUGCUUUGUACAAAAGAUGACACAGCAAUCUGCAUGGAUAGAGCAACGUGCAGUAACGUGGGCCGCCCCUAUGCUUUUGGAUGCAGUCGCCAGCCGCCCCAUGCUACCUGAUUUAUAUAGUCAUGCUGUGAUUCUUGUGGCUACGGCGUCGUAACGUGCAUUCAUACGGUCAUUGGCAUAUCAUAUGGGGUCGCAGCUGUAGGAAUUUGGCUGAAGUGACGUUGCAAGGAAAGGGCCACAGUGCAGCAGCGCGACUCAGUUUAUGUACAAAAGCAGAGUACUGGUUUACGGUACUCGUUGGCAAGGGACCGGCGGAGAUGUGUGCGUUUUCCUAAAUACAUUGAUUGCUCCCUGAUUCAAUGCAGACAAAGCCUUGAUACAAGCUCGCCGAGAGAUGCAUUGAUUGGGAGCAUUUCCCACAGCGUUCCAAAUUCCACGGUCUAACUCCUUUUAACCAGAUUGGAGGCUUUGUGGAGGACCACGUAAUAUGCGAACCGAUUACAACGAUGUCACAGACGUUCACUUGCUAACCCACAGUUUAUUAUUGGGCUGGGACACGAUUUGAUGCCAUCUAUUAAUAGGAGAAGGCGCUGCUCCAGUCCGGCUUCCGACCCAUGACAUAUCAGAUUUCUACGAAAAGUGCGUUCCUCUCGACCAAAGAAUCUACGAGUGUCCCUCAGUUGUGUUGUCGGAGGAACAGCGUAUCACCCUCGUGUACCCUGAAACGACAACACUUGUUCCACCUCCGAGACACGUAUCCCUUUCAGGCUUCAAGUGGAGGUCCCUGUUUCAAUCCGGCAGCGCCCAUCCAUUUCCACACACGCUUUUAGCCCAACAUCAGAGGCGUUUGGAAAUCAACAGACGUCCAUUGUACAGACCGUUGAGGGUCAUACCUUGGGCGUGCAUGUCUUCUGUAUCUCAGAAACAACUCAAAAGACCAAAGAACUUCUUCCUUUGGCUUCGUCCGUGCCACGAAUUUUUUAGAACAGCUGUAGGUGUUAUUCGAGGCCUCCUGUGGUAUGAGAGAUUGUUAUGUACUUACUUGCAACUCUACAGUCGCCACAGUCUCGGUCGAUUGUCAGCUCAUGCUGUGAUUCAAGCAGGCCAUGACUCGGUCUGGCAGGAAACGAAACCUGCUAACUCCUUCAGCCAUGCC
rnacentral:lncRNA from 1 species